rnacentral:rRNA from 1 species
UACAGAGGUCUCAAGCGUUGUUCGGAUUCAUUGGGCGUAAAGGGCGCGUAGGCGGCGGGGUAAGUCGGGUGUGAAAUCUCAGAGCUCAACUCUGAAACUGCACUCGAUACUGCUCUGCUUGAGGACUGGAGAGGAGACUGGAAUUCACGGUGUAGCAGUGAAAUGCGUAGAUAUCGUGAGGAAGACCAGUGGCGAAGGCGGGUCUCUGGACAGUUCCUGACGCUGAGGAGCGAAAGCCAGGGGAGCAAACGGG